CACAUCUGUAAAUGAAGGAAACAUUGACUCUCAAAGAACAUAUUUCAUGGGCAUGUAAAAGUAUGAAUGCUAGUGAGAAUUAAUUACUUAUGAAGUAUAAUCACCCACAUCCACUCUUGGACACAGCCCACUCUGAGGCAUCCGUUACAGAACUCAUUAUAUAGUAGGAGACAUGCAAAUAGGGUCCUCCCUCUGCUGAUGAAAACCAGCCCAGCCCUGACCCUGCAGCUCUGGGAGAGGAGCCCCAGCCCUGAGAUUCCCAGGUGUUUCCAUUCGGUGAUCAGCACUGAACACAGAGAACUCACCAUGGAGUUUGGACUGAGCUGGGUUUUCCUUGUUGCUAUUUUAAAAGGUGUCCAGUGUGAAGUGCAGCUGGUGGAGUCUGGGGGAGGCGUGGUACAGCCUGGGGGGUCCCUGAGACUCUCCUGUGCAGCCUCUGGAUUCACCUUUGAUGAUUAUGCCAUGCACUGGGUCCGUCAAGCUCCGGGGAAGGGUCUGGAGUGGGUCUCUCUUAUUAGUUGGGAUGGUGGUAGCACAUACUAUGCAGACUCUGUGAAGGGCCGAUUCACCAUCUCCAGAGACAACAGCAAAAACUCCCUGUAUCUGCAAAUGAACAGUCUGAGAGCUGAGGACACCGCCUUGUAUUACUGUGCAAAAGAUACACAGUGAGGGGAAGUCAGCGAGAGCCCAGACAAAAACCUCCCUGCAGGAAGACAGGAG